rnacentral:rRNA from 1 species
AGCAGCCGCGGUAAUUCCAGCUCCAAUAGCGUAUAUUAAAGUUGUUGCAGUUAAAAAGCUCGUAGUUGAAUUUUGGAUUCUUCCAAUUGGUCCAUCUUUUAGAUGAGUACUGGUUGUGUGGGGUCUAUCCGCCUGGUGAUACGUAAUGUCCUUUAUUGGAUGUUUCGGGUAGUCAGGACCUUUACCUUGAAAAAAUUAGAGUGUUUAAAGCAGGCUUAUGCCGGAAUACAUUAGCAUGGAAUAAUAGAAUAGGACGAAGUUGUUUUAUUUUGUUGGUUUCUAGGACAACCGUAAUGAUUAAUAGGGAUAGUUGGGGGCAUUAGUAUUCAAUUGUCAGAGGUGAAAUUCUUGGAUUUAUUGAAGACUAACUACUGCGAAAGCAUUUGCCAGGGAUGUUUUCAUUAAUCAAGAACGAAAGUUAGGGGAUCGAAGACGAUCAGAUACCGUCGUAGUCUUAACCAUAAACUAUGCCGACUAGGGAUCGGGCGAUGUUGUUUCCAUGACUCGCUCGGCACCUUAU